UACGUAGGGGGCUAGCGUUGUCCAGAAUCAUUGGGCGUAAAGAGCUCGUAGGCGGUCUGUUGCGUCCGCUGUGAAAACUCGGGGCUUAACCCCGAGCCUGCAGUGGAUACGGGCAGACUAGAGGUAGGUAGGGGAGAAUGGAAUUCCCGGUGUAGCGGUGAAAUGCGCAGAUAUCGGGAGGAACACCGGUGGCGAAGGCGGUUCUCUGGGCCUUACCUGACGCUGAGGAGCGAAAGCGUGGGGAGCGAACAGG
rnacentral:rRNA from 1 species